rnacentral:tRNA from 1 species
GCCAAGGUGGCGGAACUGGUAGACGCGCACGGUUCAGGUCCGUGUGAGCUUUUGCUCUUAGGAGUUCGACUCUCCUUCUUGGUACCA